AACUUCGUCCGCCGGACUCGGAAUGCCGCAAGACUUUGUGAGGGGCCUCCAUAUCCCAAAAAUAGGCCACGGGCAAAGACGCUCCCAAAAUUAACCGCCCGAAGGCCGGGGCGCCAAGUUCGUCCAGCGGAAAAAGGCCACAAAAACGGGUGGGCUAUAGCCUUGGGGGGUGGGGCUGGCCAACUUCGUCCGCCGGACUCGGAAUGCCGCGAGACUUUGCGAGGGGCCUCCGUGUGCCAAAAAUAGGCCGCGGGCAAAGCCGCGCCCAAAAAUAACCGCCCGAAGGCCGGGGCGCCCAGUU
rnacentral:lncRNA from 1 species